ensembl:snoRNA LOC120093444 small nucleolar RNA SNORA17
ACUGUCCCUAGAGGCACUGCAAGUGUGGCUGCUGUGUCAUGUGUGAAUCAGUAGGUGCUAGAAAGGAGGGAGGCUGUGCCUGUGCUCGGUGUUCUGACCUGUGAACAUCUGAGUGACUAGUAGCCUAACAUU